CCCCAACCUCCUUCCUUCUGGCUGGUGUACAGUCUCCUGGUGCUAGAGUUCAGGUGGAAUCCUCCAUUUAGUGAGUAGAUUCUGGGUCUUGACUCCCAUGGUGACCAAUUUUUCUCUUGGCCACUUCAGGACCUGUCUGACUCUCUGGAGGUACUUGGAUAUUGCUAUCCUCCUUGCCUCUUCCUCAUCAUUGACAUUUGUUUGUGGAAC